rnacentral:lncRNA from 1 species
AUGCCUCACAAUUGUUGUGCUGUCCCUUCCCCAAUGCCCAGAGAUGCUCCACUCCACACUGCUGCUGGGGAGUUGGGGAGAGGUAGUGUCAGUGAUUCAAGAUUUUCUUCCACCUCUGCCAUCUCUGAGACAGCAAGACCAACCCCUUCUCUUCCUCCUCCUCAGCCUACUCAACAUGAAGACAAGGAUGAAGAUCUUUAUGAUGAUCCAUUUCCACUUAAUGAGUAGUAAAUACAUUUUAUCUUCCUUAUGAUUUUCUUGAUAACAUUUUUUUCUCUAGCUUACUUUACUGUAAGAAUACAGUAUAUAACACAUAUAACAUGGAAUAUGUGUUAACUGUUUAUGUUAUCAGCAAGGCUUCUAGUCAACAGUAGGCUAUUAGUAGUUAAGUUUUUGAGAAAUCAAAAGUUAUACACAGAUUUUCUAUUGCACAUGGUGUCAGUGCUCAUAACCCCCACAUUGUUAAAGGGUCAACUGUAACUACAAAAGAGGAUUCUGAAUGUUCUCAUCACAAAGAAAUGAUCAUUGUUACAUCUGUGUAGUGUGGGAACAAGGAAAAAAAAGAAAUGAUAAUUGUUUGAGGUGAUGGAUAAGCUAAGUACCCUGAUUUGAUCAUAUACAGUGUAUACAUGUAUCACAAUAUCAAAAUGUACCCAUUAAAUAUGCACAAUUAUUAUGUGUCAAUUUAAAAUGAAAUAAAACUUUGAGAAAAUAAAUGUCAGAUUGAUUUAAAUAUUAUGUGUAUAGAAGUAUUGUCUUCUAGAAUACACGAUAUUACACAAUUGCAUAAGUAAUGGACUUUUUAAAUUGUUUUUUUUUUUUAAUUAUACUUUAAGUUCUAGGAUACAUGUGCACAACGUGCAGGUUUGUUACAUAUGUAUACAUGUGCCAUGUUGGUGUGCUGCACCCAUUAACUUGUCAUUUACAUUAGGUAUAUCUCCUAAUGCUAUCCCUCCCGCCUCCCUCAACCCCACCACAGGCCCCGGUGUGUGAUGUUCCCCAUCCUGUGUCCAAGUGUUCUCAUUGUUUAAUUCCCACCUAUGAGUGAGAACAUGCGGUGUUUGGUUUUCUCUCCUUGCAAUAGUUUGCUCAGAAUGAUGGUUUCCAGCUUCAUCCAUGUCCCUGCAAAGGACAUGAACUCAUCCUUUAUAACACUGUUUACAUCAACUCUUUACUACAGUCACAAUAGGACUGUGAUAAUAACAUAAUGAAGCUAAUUUUUUUUGUUUACCCUAUAAGAAUUGGCCUCGUUAUUUUAUAGAACUGUGAAUUUCCUUAUCUUUUGAAUGAUUGACAGGUCUGGUGACAACACAAGUAGAACUGCUAGCUGAAUAAGUCCUAUUUUAUGUAGUAGAAGAAUAGCUGUUUUAACAUCUAGUAUAUCUUUGAGUGGGUAUUAUCUAAGAUAUUCUGCCUUCGAUGUUGAUAGUUUUUUGAUAAUACAUUUGCCAGUGAUUAAUCUUAACACAGUUAUUUUGCCAUUUGGUGGGGGAAAAAAAAGCGAUAUUGAGUUCCUUGAAAAAUAGGACCAUAGCCUUUAUCUAGCUGAGUUAGAUGCCAAAGUGUGUGGAUUAAACAUCUGUAGAUAAUCAUGAGAUUCUAGCAUUAUUACUAUUGCUAUUUUAUUUUUAUGUCAGAAGACUAUGACUUUAUCUUUUUCAAACAGGAUGGAUCCUAUUGGAUAAGGACAUUAUUUAUUAGAAUAAAACUUUCUAAUAAAUUUUUUUAGAGAAAAAACAUUUUUGAUACACUGAUUUUUAUUUCUAGUUUUUCAAAUUUUGUGUAUCCUAUAGCCUACAUUAUUUUGUCCUUAGCUUAUUAUAACAAAUGUAGGCAGUAUGAGUCAAAUGUAGCUGUGUUAUAACCAUAAAUUCAAAUAAAUACAUUUUGAAAUAAUUUUAUUAAAUAUCAAACUGCAAUAACUAUACAGACUGAGAAAGUAUAUUAUAAAAGAAUGUGUUUAAGCAUGAAUUAAUGCUCAAAUUUUUAAGCUUUUAUAUUUCUAAAAAGGAGCUUGGCAAUCAUAUUUUUCAAUUUAGUAGUAGAUUAGUAUGGGAAUAAAUUAGAACUCACUAGCAAAGAAAUAUUAAAGAAGAGACAAGAAGUUUCUUUUUCUGUGCAUUUACUUAUUGAAUGAGCCCAUUAGCCAUUCUGACCAUGCUGUAUU